AGUGAACGCUGGCGGUAGGCCUAACACAUGCAAGUCGAACGGCAGCACAGUAAGAGCUUGCUCUUACGGGUGGCGAGUGGCGGACGGGUGAGGAAUACAUCGGAACCUACUUUUUCGUGGGGGAUAACGUAGGGAAACUUACGCUAAUACCGCAUACGACCUACGGGUGAAAGCAGGGGAUCUUCGGACCUUGCGCGAUUGAAUGAGCCGAUGUCGGAUUAGCUAGCUGGCGGGGUAAAGGCCCACCAAGGCGACGAUCCGUAGCUGGUCUGAGAGGAUGAUCAGCCACACUGGAACUGAGACACGGUCCAGGCUCCUACGGGAGGCAGCAGUGGGGAAUAUUGGACAAUGGGCGCAAGCCUGAUCCAGCCAUACCGCGUGGGUGAAGAAGGCCUUCGGGUUGUAAAGCCCUUUUGUUGGGAAAGAAAAGCAGCAGGUUAAUACGCCGCUGUUCUGACGGUACCCAAAGAAUAAGCACCGGCUAACUUCGUG
rnacentral:rRNA from 1 species